CAUGAAGAGAUUUUCUCUUAUUGUUUUGUGCGCGGUGACUCUAGUGGUGGUGUUGUUUUCAGGUGCAGAGGCAGCAGCGCCAGCGCCAAAAUGUGAUAACCCCUUAGAGUAUAGCUCAUGCUUGAACGCGUAUAAGAAGCCACCUCCAUCAGCCGGUUGUUGCCAGAAGAUGAAGGAACAAGCACCAUGCUAUUGCGAGUACAUGAAGAUAGAAGAUAUCAAACGUGUUUUUGACAGAGUUGAGAUUGCGAAAAUGGCUAAAUUGUGUGGAGUUUCAUAUUCUUUCACCUGCUAGAAUCCCGUUUGGUUUCAUUUGACUAUCUCUGGUUGGGAUAACCUGGCAUCUCAAUAAAAGAAAAUUUUAUUAGAAAACUAUUUUUUUUACUCAUAAUUUCGACUAAAAUGUACUUGUGUCCUUUUUUUUUUUGGAAUGAUACUGGUCAUUUGCUAUUAUUUACCUUUAUUGUCUUGAUCAUGUUACAUAUGUGCUAAAAGAGCUACACAAUAAUCUAGAUUUUGUUUGAAUCGUAUUGGGUUGGUUGGAUUUGGAAAUUGAUCUAGAUACCAAUAUAAUUUGAGGGGUUAGAUUGGUUGACCCACGAACCAAUGGAGACUAGUUGAAAUGGUUUUCUCUAUUUCUUAAAAAAUAUUUUAAUAUUUAUUUAAAUUAUUAAAUAAUUUAUUUAAUCAAACUAGACGAACAGGUCAAAAAUAAAAAAUAGUUAUUUGACUGAUUCGACCAUUGGUCCAAUUUUGAAAACAUUGUUAUAGUUAAAAAAACAAGAGAAAUGGGUAGGGUAGAUCAAAUUAUUAUAUUAUAAAAAUAAAUGUUAUUCGAAUAUUUAUUUGGGUAAAGUACACUAGUAGUCACUCAACUUUUAGUAAAUUUCUAUUUUUCUCAUCGAAUUAUGAAAAAUCACAAAAUAAUCACCCAACUAUUCAAUUUUUUUUGAGCUCCAGUUAGCUAAUAGUGGUAGUUAGACUUGUUAAUUGGUCGGGUUACCUACCCAAGUCCAGUGGCCUGCUUGAAAAAUGGAAGGGUUUGGACAAAUACACGAUGCCGAAAAAUAGGCUUGGGUAAAAGUUAAGGCAUAUUUUCUAUAUGGGUCGGGAUUUGUGCAAAUUAUUUUGACCCGUUCCCAGUCCGACCCGAAUAUAUUAUGUUAUAAAAAUAAUUAUAUUAAUUAUAUAUGUUAAAUAAUUAUUAUAUAUUUUUUAUAUUUAUAUUAAAUUACUAAGCCAAUAACAACUAAACCCAUUACCCAAACCUUAAAAAAAUCCUUACCCAACUAAAUAAUUGGCUUCGACUAUUCCUAAAGCCUGUCAAUUAGUUAACCAUAAACAUAUUUUAGUUAAUGGCGUACAAUAGAUAUACCAAGUCAUCAUUGCAAUCUUCGAGAUAUUAUUUUAGCGGCGGAUGAGUAAAAUUCUAGAACUCUGAUUCAAAAUUAUUUUGAUUCAUCCACCAAUGAGGAGUUGCCAAAACAUUUGACCCUUCACACAUUACUAUAUAAAGGAUUAGUCAAUCAGAUAAUAGAUAGGAAAUGGGUUGGUUUGAAAAUAAAUGGAUUGAUUGCCGUAGAAUAUUAUUCUCAUCAAAACUCAACAUAUUUUUAAAAAUUUUAUUUAAUAAUGUGGUAUGAAACUCUUAGUUGAUGUAACUUAUUUAGUGCUAGAUUCAAUGUACUAUUAGGUCAUUAAUUCUAAAGCCAUUAAUCAUAUUUAUUUUUAUUGUAGGGGUUCAAGUAGAACAGAAGCCUUCGUGAUAAGGAUCUCUUGUUGCAAACUAGAGAUGAGAGAAAUGUAGCGGCAAAAGUAGUGGGAGAAAUACAUUUGUAUUUGAUAAUUUUAGAAAAAUUAUUUUCAAUGACAUUUUUAUGUACCUAUUUUUUAUGUGACUUCUAAUAAAGGAACUACAAUUCAUAAAAAUCAUGUUCUUAUCCGUAAUGGAUGGAUGCAAAAUAAUAUUUAUUUUAUUAAACAAAAGAGCUACUCACUACUUGAAAUUGAACUUGUGAAUAAGAAACUUAAAACUUCUCACUCUAAUACUUAUUAUAUUUAAGACUUAGUCGUGUUAAACAAGAAAGAAUGAAUAAACUUUUUAAAGAUGAGACUUUAAGCUCACUUAAAAAGACAUAUCUUCUACAAUGUGAAUCUCGCUUGAAAGGUAAAAUGAUCAAGAAAUCUUCUAAUGCAAAAGGUACAAGGGUUAUUCAAUCAUUAAAAAUUGUGCAUACUGACUUAUGUGAUCCCAUGAACAUUAGUGUGAGAUUGGUUACAAUUAUUAUGUAAACUUUUUAAAUAUUUAUUCUAGAUAUUGUUAUGUGUAUCUAAUGCACCACAAGAGUGAAAUUUUUAAAUAUUUUCAAGAGUUUAAUGUGAAAAUGGAGAAACAAUUAGGUUUAACUAUUAAGACACUUCGAUUUGACUGACGUGGGGAAUCCUUAUGGGACGAGUUAAUAGGAUACCUCAUAGAGAAUGAGAUACUAUCCCAACUAACUAUGCGGGGUAAUCCACAACAGAAUAGCGCGGUAGAGAAAUGGAACAAAACCUUACUUGAUAUGGUUUAUUCAAUGUUAAGUUAUUCACAACUGUCGAUAUCAUUCUGGGGUUAAGCAUUACUAACGACUUGCUACAUUCUAAAUUACAUUCAAACUAAGGCAGUGCCUCAGGAUCCAUACGAAAUGUGGCACGACAUGAAGCCAGGCUUAAAUCAUUUUAGGAAUUGGGAAUGUCAAACCUACGUGUUGGCUAAAGAUGCAAAAAAGUUGGAAGCACGGAUAGAAUUGUGCAUGUUUUUUGGCUGUCCAAAACGGAGUAACGGUGGAUAAUAUUAUAACCCAAAAGACCAAACGGUUAAGGUUUUGACUUAUGCUACUUUCUUUGAGGAAAUAUACAUUAACAAUUUUAAACUUCGAAGUGGAUUGUUACUUCAAAAAAUUUCAGGAAAAUGAACUUAUUUUUUGAUGACUUGUAAGUCAUUUUCUGUGAAACAAAUGCACCUGGAGGAAAAUGAAGAAGAGGAUAAUAAUUUUAUAAAUAGUGAUCUAAAAAAUUUUACUCAUACCAUAAUUUUAAUUUAUUUUAUUAGUGAUUUUCAUUUUCUAUUUUACUUUUUUUAGUGACUCUUUAAAUAAUUGAGACCAUAAAAAAUAAACCAUAACAACUAAAAUUAAAAAUUUAAUAUUCUAAAAAAAACCAUAUAUUUUAAUUUCAAUUUUAAAUUUAAAUUGUUCAAAGAUUAAGCUAUUUUUCUCGGCUUUGUAGGCACAUUUCAAAAUUUUUUUACCACAAUUUAUCUCUCUCAAAAAUAGUAAACCUAACAACAUCCUUUUACCAAAUUUACACAUUUACACGUAUUGUCCAAAACUCUCGGCAACUAAUAAUCCAACUGCUAUAAAUUGUGCCAAUUUUAUUGGAAAAAACAUGCCAACACAAAUUACCAUUAUUAGUCGCCUAGCUAGCAAACUUUUUAUUUAAAGAAACAUGAAGAGGUUUUCCCUUAUUGUUUUGUGCGUGGUGACUCUAGUGGUGGUGUUGUUUUCGGAUGCAGAGGCAGCGCCAGCGCCGAAAUGUGAUAACCCCUUGGAGUAUAGCUCAUGCUUGAACGCGUAUAAGAAGCCACCUCCAUCAGCCGGUUGUUGCCAGAAGAUGAAGGAACAAGCACCAUGCUAUUGCAAGUACAUGAAGAUAGAAGAUGUCAAACGUGUUUUUGACAGAGUUGAGAUUGCGAAAAUGGCUAAAUUGUGUGGAGUUUCAUAUUCUUCCACCUGCUAGAAUCCCGUUUGGUUUCAUUUGACUAUCUCUGGAUGAGAUAACCUGACAUCUCAAUAAAUGAAAAUUUUAUUUGAAAACUAUUUUUUUACCCAUAAUUUCGACUAUAAUGUACUUGUGUUCUUUUUUUUUUGGAAUAAUACUGG
rnacentral:lncRNA from 1 species